UGUGACGACCACUCAACAGCGCUUUGAUCGAGUGAAGCUUACAUCGAGAGGUGGUGAGCGACUGCGGGUUUUCAUCCCGAAACCUGAAGAAAAUACAAUUUAAAAACGCUUAUGACCAGUAUAUUAGCAUCACAGCUGAGAUUCUAAGGUUAAACCUUCAAGAAGAAUACGUCAAGUUCACCUAAAGAAGCAAGUAAUCCAGACAGGGAAGCUACCAAGCGAAUGUCCAAGAGACUGCCAGCUAGCUAACGUAGCUAGCUUGGAUCAGAAGAAUCCUAAACCACGAUCUGGUGUGAAAACAUUGCUAUUUUGUAUCGACUUAUUCUCUGUGUAGCUACAAAGUAGCCAGCCAGGGAAUACAAUCAGAAACCAAGGUAUAUUUUAAUGUUGGGCCGCCUUACUCUAGCUUUCCAGUUUGCGAUGUCAAUUACUAUUAGCGUUAGUUAGCAUGGCAGUUCUCAGUCAUUGAGAUUAAUACAGGCUAAACGAAUUAUUUGGGACUCCCUAAAAACACUCAACUAAGAUACAGCUACGACCGGAAGUGACCAUCGGUAGCAGGUUAGGAGAGCAUUUUCGCUAACCCUAACCCUUUUCCUAACAUUAACCUAGCUAGUUUAUUAUACUAACCUUCAACGUUAAUUCUCCAAACAUGCAGCUUGAGUUCUCCUAACCUGCUACGAAAAAGUAACUUCCUGUUGUAGGUGUAUCAAAUUGUCUCCAAUUAUUUGCUGAAUAAUAUUUAGUUUUGUAACUUGAUUUUGUGAAAGCUUGCUUCUUGGCCAUGUUGAAACAACAGCCCAGCUCUGGUGGGCAAAAAACCUCCAACUGGACUCCAGGCCCUGCCAGUAUGACUUCCACGGCCAGUGGGAUCAACAACAGAGCACAGGUUGGGAGGAGUCGAACCUCUGUGAAGCCACCUUUCCUGUCCUCUCCUGUGUUUGAGGGCGUCUACAACAAUGCCAGAAUGAUACAUUUCCUCACAGCUGUGGUGGGCUCCACCUGUGACGUAAGAGUGAAGAACGGCAACGUGUACGAGGGCAUCUUCAAGACCCUCGGCUCACGGUGUGAGCUGGCAGUGGACGCAGUCCACAAGCGAGGCGAAGACGAGAGGCCUGCCCUGCCCCGGAGGGAGGAGAUCACCGACACCAUGGUCUUCAGCUCUUACGAUGUGGUCACCAUGACCUGCCGAGACGUGGACCUAAACUACGCCACCAGAGACACGUUCAUAGACACGUCCAUCAGCUCGACCCGUGUCAAUGGGGAACACAAAGAGAAGGUGCUGCAGAGGUGGGAGGGAGGAGAUGGCAACGGAGAGGCCUUCGAUUUGGAGAACGAUGCUUCCAACGGCUGGGAUGCCAACGAAAUGUUUCGUUACAACAAGGUGAACUUCGGUGUCGAGUCUACCUAUGACUCCAGCCUCUCAAUGUACACGGUCCAUCUGGAGAGGGGCAGCACGGAGGGCUUCCGGCAGCGGGAAGCGCGUGCCGCCCGCAUGGCUAGUGAGAUCGAGUCCAGCCCCCAGUACCGCCACCGCGUCUCGUUGGAGAACGAGGAGGGCAAGAGCGAGGAGGACAAGUACAGCGCAGUGGUGCGCAGUGGCGAGCGGGGGGGGGGAAGCCCCAGGGAGAGGGAGAAAGGCUGCGACAGCCCCAGCAUAGUCAGCAGGGAAGGCAAAUACAUUCCGUUACCCCAGCGAGCUAGGGAGAUGGGCGUGUCGGGGGGCAGCAUGCGAGGAGACCGCGAGCGGGCGGAGCGAGGCCCUGGAGGAGGAAGCGGCGGACCCCAAGGUCACAACCGCAUGAGCGCCGGCUACCGCUCUGCCCCUCCCUCCUCUUCCUCCCCCAAACCUCACCUGCCCUUGGCCACUGGUGUCCCCCAGCCCAAUCCCCCCUCCUCGGAGUGCAGCAGCCCCCUCUCUGGCCGAGGUUACUCCCCCCACCACCCCCAGGGCAGCCCUGGCUCUGCCAGCCCCUACGCCCCUACCUCCCCCGGGAGUCCGGCCUCGGCCAACGCUGCCCCCUCUUCAGCUAGUCCCCCCACCCCCCAUUCCAACUCUCUGUCGGACACUGGUAGGCCCGUCAACGGAGUGUCUUCCAGGAUGUCUCCCAAAUUACAGAGACCCGCCCAGUCAAACCGACCGGUCCGGACACCUAACUCACACACCCAGUCCACAGCCUCCCGCUCCCCGAAAUCUGGCUCGCAGGACUCAGUGCAGUACCUGGACACGUCAUCUGUCUCCAUGCCCGCCCAGAAAACAUCAGGCCUCGCCCCGCUCUUCCCCAUUGAUGUGAACGAGAUUCUCUGUAUGGCUGCCAAAGAACGAUCAGCAGAGAGUCCAGGCAGCACGGAAGAUGGCAAGAGUAAAGCUCCCUCCAUUCAGCAAAGGUCACAAAUUGAAGAGCUGCGGAAAUUCGGCAAAGAAUUCAGGCUUCAGCCCAGCGGAUGUGGCUCCAGUGCUCCAGCGGUAUCUCCCUCUGACACGGCCAAGCCCUUCCCCUCGUACCCCAGCCCCGCCUCCUCAGACUCCAAACAGACCCCCGCCCCCCCAAAGUACUUCCCAGCCCUCCGCUUCCCCCUCAGGGGACCCUGCCAAGGAGCCCAGUUCCAGCGCAGCCGCUACCAACGCCAGCCCCAUUUCAGAUAGGCAAUCGCCAGGACAAUCCCAGUCAGCCAGGACCCCAGGAAGUGAGGAGUCCAGACAGGAGAAGGCAGAGCGAGUGGAGGUUGUGAUUGAUCAAGUCAGGAAGUCAACUCUGAAUCCCAACGCCAAAGAGUUCAACCCAAACAAAAUGGCGCUCACUCUGACGAAGCCCAACCCUUCACCCACGCCCCCCCGGCCACCCCCUCCCAGCCCUGCGGUGGUGCUGCAGCACCCAGGCAGCCAGGGUCCCAUCUACAACGCCCCCUACCUCUCCUACAUCUCCCAGAUCCACUCUGUACAGCCUCCACAUAUGUACCAGUAUACCAUGUCGACAGUCUGCCAGGGGAAAUACCCCCGAGUCAAAGGCUUAGGGGUGGGGGCCCCCCGCUCGGACCAUGGCAACUCGGGCCCGCCGCAGGCCAUGCUACAGGCGGCGGCGUCUGCAGCCGGAGCCCCCCUGGUGCCGUUGCCCUACCCCCAGCCCUACCUGCAGUACAGCCAGCAGCAGGUCAUCCAGGCCAUGACGCCUUACCCUGGACAGCCGAUGUACUCCAUGCUGCAGGGCGGUGCGAGGAUGUUGGGCCAGGGAGGGAGUCACCCCCAGGCCAUGGGCCCUCCAGGGGGCCCCCAGUUCCCCAGCCAAGGUGAGGGGCCUCUGGUGCCACAGCAGGGUAUCUAUGCCCCCCAGUCGUUCUCCCAUCACCAGGGUGCAGUGCACCAGCCCCGGCCCUCCAGCACCCCUACGUGUAACCAGCCCCCCCCUCAGCAGCACGCCCCCAGCCCUGGACAGUCGGGACCCCAACCCCAGUCUCUAUAUCACUCCGGGCCGCUCUCAGCCCCCACCCCCCCUAAUAUGCCCCCCGGACAAACGUCGCCCCAGGGCUCGUUCCCCCUUCAGGGCUACAGCCUGCAUGGCCACCAGGGAAUCCCGCACACGUACCCUGGUCUGGGGCAGAUAACACAGGCUCACGUCCAAGGGGCCAUGCAGGGACCCCACCACCAGGGCCAACACAGCCACCCGCAGGUAGUGAUGCUCCAGGCCCCGCCCCCCCAGCACGGCCUUGGACAAGUCUCCCAGCACCCCCAACACGGCCUCCAGCAAGGGGCCCACCAACACUUCUACAUAGGACAUCCACAAGCGAUGCAGGUACAGACGCACCCCUCUCCCUUCCACCCUCCUGGAAACUGAGCUCCUCUGUUCUCCCCUCCCAGAAGAACUGUCCCUCGAACGGUCCACCCCCCCUCGCCCUCUGGACAUGACCACACCCAACCAAGAAGUGACACAAUCACGUGACACAGUGAUGGGCUUGCAGGGAGAAGCGGCAAGACCUCAUUGGUCAGCUACACUUCUCAGCUUCAUCGUCGCUAAAGCCUCGGUUAUAGCCCAACUGAUGAUGAUGAUGAUAAGCGGCGUCAACAGAAGCCGCACCCAAUCCAAACCUUCGUCUCGGUUCUCUCUUCCAGCUCCUUCCAUAUUAAAGACAAAAGACACGACCACGUGAGAUCAUCAUAGUGGAGAGAAAAGACAUGGACGCCAAACGAGCGAAGGACACAACGUUUGACAACAUCAAAUCGCUUUGAGACUGACUCCUUUAGUUUAAGUUCCUUGAUAUUGGGCGAAUGGACAGAAGAAAUACAAACACUUGCUCAGAAAUCGUUGAGUGUCGCAAAAAGGAGGAAUGAAUGGAAUGCCAUAAAUGAGGAGAUUGGAUUUUUACUUUAACCCGGUAUCAACCCACCCUUCCCCUUUCCUCUCUCUUAUAGCGAAUUAUGAAUAAUAAAAAUAUGGAAAAUACAAAAAAAUACUUUAAACUACAAUGACCAAAAAAUAAAGUUUUAAACUUAACUACAGAAACAUCUUGUUUGUUGAAUGUAUAACCUUUUUUAUUGGAAGAAUAUGUUAGUUGUCAAGUCUUAUCUCAUAAUAACCACUAUGUUACACCAAAGGGAAACCAUUUGUAAGACACAUUUCAAUGUAAAGAAGACACUAACAAAUGAAUCAUGUAAUUUAAACAAACAACCAAAUGCAGUUCCCACAGUUAAAACCGAUUUUUAAGCAGUUCUUACGUCAUGGGUAUCCAUUGUACUUUAGUCACUUAAGAGGUUUUGGUUACACUUUUACUUGAGUUUUGUGUUUACCGUUUAACACUUGGCAGCUUAACAAUUAACAUUCACACAUAAACAUGUCUACACAUUACAUGAAGCGUGGUUGCAAACUGACAGUCCAACCCAGAGUUCUUAAAUGUUCACAAUUUAUGUAGUAAUGCGUAAAAAAAUGUAUAGGGUAUCGUGAUAUCAUUUUUGCCAAUUUUAUAUUGAUACUGUGACCGAGUAUUGAUUUGCUAGGUAGUUAACGUUAGCUAGUGCUAGUCGGCUGUAUUUCUCAUCAUAUAGCUUUUUCUCCAUCUUCUUUUUAAAUAGUGAGACAACAUGUUUUGAGCACUUAUCUACAAAAUUUGCUU